rnacentral:rRNA from 1 species
GAUGAACGCUGGCGGCGUGCCUAAUACAUGCAAGUCGAGCGAACGGACGAGAAGCUUGCUUCUCUGAUGUUAGCGGCGGACGGGUGAGUAACACGUGGAUAACCUACCUAUAAGACUGGGAUAACUUCGGGAAACCGGAGCUAAUACCGGAUAAUAUUUUGAACCGCAUGGUUCAAAAGUGAAAGACGGUCUUGCUGUCACUUAUAGAUGGAUCCGCGCUGCAUUAGCUAGUUGGUAAGGUAACGGCUUACCAAGGCAACGAUGCAUAGCCGACCUGAGAGGGGGAUCGGCCACACUGGAACUGAGACACGGUCCAGACGCCUACGGGAGGCAGCAGUAGGGAAUCUUCCGCAAGGGGCGAAAGCCUGACGAAGCAACGCCGCGGGAGUGAUGAAGGUCUUCGGAUCGUAAAACUCUGUUAUUAGGGAAGAACAUAUGUGUAAGUAACUGUGCACAUCUUGACGGUACCUAAUCAGAAAGCCCCGGCUAACUACGU